rnacentral:lncRNA from 1 species
UUUGAAGAAGCAGAAAAGGGAACGUCAGAAGCACCCGAAGUCACAAUAAUCAGAAAAGAUCAAGAAAUAGACAAAAUGUUUCUGAAGAAUUGAUUAUGGGGAACAAAAACGAACCUGUCAGAACAAGAUCAACAUUCAAAGGUUCUUAAGAAACACUUCUAGGACUAGUAUCUUUGAUAGAGCCAACAUCCCAUGAAGAAGCACUUCAA